CGGAGGGUGCAAGCGUUAUCCGGAUUCACUGGGUUUAAAGGGUGCGUAGGUGGGCUGGUAAGUCAGUGGUGAAAUCCCCGAGCUUAACUUGGGAACUGCCAUUGAUACUAUCAGUCUUGAAUACUGUGGAGGUUAGCGGAAUAUGUCAUGUAGCGGUGAAAUGCUUAGAUAUGACAUAGAACACCAAUUGCGAAGGCAGCUGGCUACACAAAUAUUGACACUGAUGCACGAAAGCGUGGGGAUCAAACAGGAUUAGAUACCCUGGUAGUCCACGCCCUAAACUAUGGAUACUCGACAUACGCGAUAAACAGUGUGUGUCUGAGCGAAAGCAUUAAGUAUCCCACCUGGGAAGUACGAUCGCAAGAUUG
rnacentral:rRNA from 1 species